GAUGAACGCUGGCGGCGUGCCUAAUACAUGCAAGUCGAGCGAAGCGGGGACGGGUGAGUAACACGUGGGUAACCUCCUAUAAGACUGGGAUAACUUCGGGAAACCGGAGCUAAACCGGCUACUUAUAGCUUGAUCCGCUCUGCAUUAGCUAGUUGGUAAGGUAACGGGUUACCAAGGCGACGAUUCAUAGCCGACCUGAGAGGGUGAUCGGCCACACUGGAACGGAUACACGGGCCAGACUCCUACGGGAGGCAGCAGUAGGGAAUAUUUCGCAAUGGGCGAAAGCCUGACGGGGCCACGCCGCGUGAAUGAAGAAGGGCUUCGGGUGGUAAAACACUGUUAUUAGGGAAGCGGUACCUAAACAGAAAGCCACGGCUAACUACGUGCCAGCAGCCGCGGUAAUAC
rnacentral:rRNA from 1 species